rnacentral:tRNA from 2 species
CGGGAUGUGGCUCAGUUUGGUAGAGCGCCACAUUAGGGAUGUGGAGGCCGCAGGUUCAAGUCCUGUCAUUCCGA